rnacentral:ribozyme from 1 species
UACCUAGCAACUCCUAUUCCUACCUCCUCGCGGUACUGGCCGGGGUACGAGCAACCUGAGACAACAGCGUCUGUUCCCCAUGUCAGGGG